rnacentral:tRNA from 1 species
GAGGGUAUAGUUCAGUGGCAGAGUGCAUGCUUAGCAUGCACAAGGGCUUAGCAUGCACAAGGUCCUGGGUUCAAUCCCCAAUACCUCCG